rnacentral:misc_RNA from 1 species
GAUGAAGAACGUAGCGAAAUGCGAUAAGUAAUGUGAAUUGCAGAAUUCAGUGAAUCAUCGAAUCUUUGAACGCACAUUGCGCCCCUUGGUAUUCCGAGGGGCAUGCCUGUUCGAGCGUCAUUAUAACCCCUCAAGCUCAGCUUGGUGUUGGGGCCUGCCGCACGGGCAGCCCUUAAAAUCAGUGGCGGUGCCAUCUGGCUCUAAGCGUAGUAAUUCUUCUCGCUAUAGAGUCCCGGUGGAUGCUUGCCAUUAACCCCCAAUUUUCUAUGGUUGACCUCGGAUCAGGUAGGGAUACCCGCUGAACUUAAGCAUAUCAAUAAGCGGAUGA